CAUAGGUUAAUGAGGCGAACCGGGGGAACUGAAACAUCUAAGUACCCCGAGGAAAAGAAAUCAACCGAGAUUCCCCCAGUAGCGGCGAGCGAACGGGGAGCAGCCCAGAGCCUGAAUCAGUGUGUGUGUUAGUGGAAGCGUCUGGAAAGGCGCGCGAUACAGGGUGACAGCCCCGUACACAAAAAUGCACAUGCUGUGAGCUCGAUGAGUAGGGCGGGACACGUGGUAUCCUGUCUGAAUAUGGGGGGACCAUCCUCCAAGGCUAAAUACUCCUGACUGACCGAUAGUGAACCAGUACCGUGAGGGAAAGGCGAAAAGAACCCCGGCGAGGGGAGUGAAAAAGAACCUGAAACCGUGUACGUACAAGCAGUGGGAGCACAGAGCAAUCUGUGUGACUGCGUACCUUUUGUAUAAUGGGUCAGCGACUUAUAUUCUGUAGCAAGGUUAACCGAAUAGGGGAGCCGAAGGGAAACCGAGUCUUAACUGGGCGUUAAGUUGCAGGGUAUAGACCCGAAACCCGGUGAUCUAGCCAUGGGCAGGUUGAAGGUUGGGUAACACUAACUGGAGGACCGAACCGACUAAUGUUGAAAAAUUAGCGGAUGACUUGUGGCUGGGGGUGAAAGGCCAAUCAAACCGGGAGAUAGCUGGUUCUCCCCGAAAGCUAUUUAGGUAGCGCCUCGUGAAUUCAUCUCCGGGGGUAGAGCACUGUUUCGGCAAGGGGGUCAUCCCGACUUACCAACCCGAUGCAAACUGCGAAUACCGGAGAAUGUUAUCACGGGAGACACACGGCGGGUGCUAACGUCCGUCGUGAAGAGGGAAACAACCCAGAC
rnacentral:rRNA from 1 species